AACGAACGCUGGCGGCAGGCCUAACACAUGCAAGUCGAGCGAGGUAGCAAUACCUAGCGGCGGACGGGUGAGUAACGCGUGGGAACGUGCCCCUUGGUACGGAAUAGCCCCGGGAAACUGGGAGUAAUACCGUAUGAGCUCUACGGAGGAAAGAUUUAUCGCCAAGGGAUCGGCCCGCGUUGGAUUAAGUAGUUGGUGGGGUAAUGGCCUACCAAGCCGACGAUCCAUAGCUGGUUUGAGAGGAUGAUCAGCCACACUGGGACUGAGACACGGCCCAGACUCCUACGGGAGGCAGCAGUGGGGAAUCUUAGACAAUGGGCGCAAGCCUGAUCUAGCCAUGCCGCGUGAGCGAUGAAGGCCUUAGGGUUGUAAAGCUCUUUCAGCUGGGAAGAUAAUGACUGUACCAGCAGAAGAAGCCCCGGCUAACUCCGUGCCAGCAGCCGCCGUAAAAU
rnacentral:rRNA from 1 species